UGGGGAAUUUUGGACAAUGGGCGAAAGCCUGAUCCAGCAAUGCCGCGUGUGUGAAGAAGGCCUUCGGGUUGUAAAGCACUUUUGUCCGGAAAGAAAUCCUUGGCUCUAAUACAGUCGGGGGAUGACGGUACCGGAAGAAUAAGCACCGGCUAACUACGUGCCAGCAGCCGCGGUAAUACGUAGGGUGCAAGCGUUAAUCGGAAUUACUGGGCGUAAAGCGUGCGCAGGCGGUUUGCUAAGACCGAUGUGAAAUCCCCGGGCUCAACCUGGGAACUGCAUUGGUGACUGGCAGGCUAGAGUAUGGCAGAGGGGGGUAGAAUUCCACGUGUAGCAGUGAAAUGCGUAGAGAUGUGGAGGAAUACCGAUGGCGAAGGCAGCCCCCUGGGCCAAUACUGACGCUCAUGCACGAAAGCGUGGGGAGCAAACAGGAUUAGAUACCCUGGUAGUCCACGCCCUAAACGAUGUCAACUAGUUGUUGGGGAUUCAUUUCCUUAGUAACGUAGCUAACGCGUGAAGUUGACCGCCUGGGGAGUACGGUCGAAGAUUAAAACUUAAAUGAAUUGAC
rnacentral:rRNA from 1 species